rnacentral:rRNA from 1 species
GCGAAAACUUUACAAUGCUGGCAACAGCGAUAAGGGAAUCUCGAGUGCCAGGUUACAAAUCUGGCUGUCGAGAUGCCUAAAAAGCAUUUCAUAGCAAGGGCCGGGCAAGACCGGUGCCAGCCGCCGCGGUAACACCGGCGGCUCGAGUGGUAACCGUUAUUAUUGGGUCUAAAGGGUCUGUAGUCGGCCGGAUAAGUCUCUUGAGAAAUCUGGCAGCUUAACUGUCAGGCUUUCAGGAGAUACUGUCUGGCUCGAGGCCGGGAGAGGUGAGAGGUACUUCAGGGGUAGGGGUGAAAUCUUGUAAUCCUUGAAGGACCACCAGUGGCGAAGGCGUCUCACCAGAACGGACCUGACGGCAAGGGACGAAAGCUAGGGGCACGAACC